rnacentral:rRNA from 1 species
CCUACGGGGGGCUGCAGUGAGGAAUAUUGGUCAAUGGGCUUACGCCUGAACCAGCCAAGCCGCGUGAGGGAAGACGGUCCUAUGGAUGGUAACCCCCUUUUGUCAGGGAGCAAAGGGCGCCACGUGUGGCGUUUUGCGAGUACCUGAAGAAAAAGCAUCGGCUAACUCCGUGCCAGCAGCCGCGGUAAUACGGAGGAAGCGAGCGUUAUCCGGAUUUAUUGGGUUAAAAGGGUGCGCAGGCGGAAUGUCAAGUCAGCGGUAAAAUUUCGGGGCUCAACCCCGUCGUGCCGUUGAAACUGGCGUUCUUGAGUGAGCGAGAGGUAUGCGGAAUGCGUGGUGUAGCGGUGAAAUGCAUAGAUAUCACGCAGAACUCCGAUUGCGAAGGCAGCAUACCGGCGCUCAACUGACGCUCAUGCACGAAAGCGUGGGUAGCGAACAGGAUUAGAUACCCCUGUAGUC